rnacentral:rRNA from 1 species
UACGAAGGGGGCUAGCGUUGCUCGGAAUCACUGGGCGUAAAGCGCACGUAGGCGGACUCUUAAGUCAGGGGUGAAAUCCCGAGGCUCAACCUCGGAACUGCCUUUGAUACUGGAGAUCUUGAGUCCGGAAGAGGUAAGUGGAACUGCGAGUGUAGAGGUGAAAUUCGUAGAUAUUCGCAAGAACACCAGUGGCGAAGGCGGCUUACUGGUCCGGAACUGACGCUGAGGUGCGAAAGCGUGGGGAGCAAACAGGG